GCUACCGACAGCAGGGCGGUGGCCAUGGAAGUCGGACAUCCGCUAAGGAGUGUGUAACAACUCACCUGCCGAAGCAACCAGCCCUGAAAAUGGAUGCCGCUGAAGCGUCGUGCCUAUGCUCGGCCGUCAGUGGCAGAGUGGGCUGUCGGCCGGUACCGCGUGCCGGCCCGGCAGACCCGGUAAGCCCUGACGAGUAGGAGGGCGCAGUGGUGUGCGCAGAAGGGACCGAGCCGUAAGGCC
rnacentral:ncRNA from 1 species